AGUGAACGCUGGCGGUAGGCCUAACACAUGCAAGUCGAACGGCAGCACCGUACGAGCUUGCUCUUACGGGUGGCCAAUGGCGGAAGGGUGAGGAAUACAUCGGAACCUACUUUUUGGUGGGGGUUAACGUAGGGAAACUUAAGCUCAUACAGCAUACGCUCUACGAGUGAAGGCAGGGGAACUUCGCACCUUGCGCGAAUGAAUGCGCCGAUGUCGGAUUAGCUAGUUGGCGGGGUAAAGGCCAACCAAGGCGAGGAUCCGUAGCUGGUCUGAGUGGAUGAUCGGCGACACUGGAGCUGGGACACGGUCCAGACUCCUACGAGAGGCAGCAGUGUGGAAUGUGGGACAACGGUCGCGAGCCUGGUCCAGCCAUACCGAGUGGGUGAAAGAGGCCUUGGGGGUGUAAAGCCCGUUUUUUGGGAAAGAAAAGCAGCAGGUUAAUACCCCGCUGUUCUGACGGUACCCAAAGAAGAAGCACCGGCUAACUUCGUG
rnacentral:rRNA from 1 species